CCUACGGGAGGCAGCAGUAGGGAAUUUUCGGCAAUGGGGGGAACCCUGACCGAGCAACGCCGCGUGAAGGACGAAGGACUUCGUUCUGUAAACUUCUGUUAUAAAGGAAGAAAGACGGAUGGAGGAAAUGACAUCCGAGUGACGGUACUUUAUGAGAAAGCCACGGCUAACUACGUGCCAGCAGCCGCGGUAAUACGUAGGUGGCAAGCGUUAUCCGGAAGUAUUGGGCGGAAAGAGGGAGCGGGCGGCAGAAAAGGUCUGUGGUGAAAGACUGAAGCUAAACUUCAGUAAGCCAUAGAAACCGGGCAGCUAGAGUGCAGGAGAGGAUCGUGGAAUUCGAGGUGUAGCGGUGAAAUGCGUAGAUAU
rnacentral:rRNA from 1 species